UACGGGGGGGAGCAAGCGUUGUUCGGAUUUACUGGGCGUAAAGGGCGCGUAGGCGGCGUGACAAGUCACUUGUGAAAUCUCCGGGCUUAACUCGGAACGGUCAAGUGAUACUGUCGUGCUAGAGUACAGAAGGGGCAACUGGAAUUCUCGGUGUAGCGGUGAAAUGCGUAGAUAUCGAGAGGAACACCUGCGGCGAAGGCGGGUUGCUGGGCUGAUACUGACGCUGAGGCGCGAAAGCC
rnacentral:rRNA from 1 species